rnacentral:rRNA from 1 species
UACGGGGGGGGCAAGCGUUGUUGCGGAAUUACUGGGCGUAAAGGGCUCGUAGGCGGCCAUCUAAGUCGGACGUGAAAUCCCUCGGCUUAACCGGGGAACUGCGUCCGAUACUGGAGGGCUUGAGUGUGGGAGAGGGAUGCGGAAUUCCAGGUGUAGCGGUCGAAAUGCGUAGAUAAUCUGGAGGAACACCGGUGGCGAAG